rnacentral:rRNA from 1 species
CGGAGGCGACCGCUAUUGGAGUUCGAUUAAGACAUGCGAGUCUGAGCAUUAGCUCGGCGUACCGCUCAGUAACACGUGGGUAACCUGCCCUACUGUUCGGAACAACCUCGGGAAACUGAGAACAAUGCCGAAUAGUCCACCACGCCUGGAACGGUGGGUGGAUGAAGGUAGGAUGGGCCUGCGGCGUAUCAGGUUGUAGGGGGUGUAAUGGACCUCCUAGCCAUCGACGCGUACGGGUGUUGGGAGACAUAGCCCGGAGAUGGAUUCUGAGACACGAAUCCAGGCCCUACGGGGCGCAGCAGUUACGAAAACUUGGCAAUGCGGGAAACCGUGACCAGGGAACUCCAAGUGAGUCUCUUUUAGGGGCUCUUUUCAUGACUCUAAAACGGUCUUGGAAUAAGGGGUGGGUAAGGACGGUGCCAGCCGCCGCGGUAAUACCGGCGCCUCAAGUGGUCGUCGCUUUUAUUGGGCCUAAAACGUCCGUAGCCGGUUUGGUACAUUCGUGGGUAAAUCAACUCGCUCAACGAGUUGAAUUCUGCGAGGACGGCCAGACUAGGGACCGGGAGAGGUGUGGGGAACUCUCAGGGUAGGGGUAAAAUCCUGUCAUCCUGAGAGGACCACCUGUUGCGAAGGCGCCACACUAGAACGGAUCCGACGGUCAGGGACGAAGCCUAGGGGCACGAACCGGAUUAGAUACCCGGGUAGUCCUAGGUGUAAACGCUGUGGACUUGGUGUUGGGGAAGACUAGAGCUUUCCCAGUGCCGUAGCGAAGGUGUUGAGUCCACUGCCAGGGGAGUACGGUCGCAAGGCUGAAACUUAAAGGAAUUGGCGGGG